GCGGUUUCUUAUGUCUGAUGUGAAAGCCCACGGCUCUUCCGUGGAGGGUCAUUGGAAACUGGGGAACUUGAGUGCCCAAGAGAAAAGCGGAAUUCCUCGUGUAGCGGUGAAAUGCGUAGAGAUGUGGAGGAACACCCGUGGCGAAGGCGGCCUCUUGGUCUGUAACUGACGCUGAGGCGCGAAAGCGUGGGGAGCAAACAGGAUUAUAUACCCUGGUAGUCCACGCCGUAAACGAUGAGUGCUAAGUGUUAGAGGGUUUCCUCC
rnacentral:rRNA from 1 species